AGCGCGUGAGGGGACUGGGGCGCAGUCGCCGCCCUGCUUAGGACGCGCGCCUGAGGGCACACGGGGAACUCGAAAACAUGAUUGUACUUGAGAAAGUUACUAACAACUUCCCGAUAUCAUCCAAGAACAUGAGCUGCAGGUUUUCACACCUUAAACUGAGGCUGUCUUUGUAUCUCCAAGUGGACCUGCUCAGGAGACAUCAACAACCCUCACACGCAUUAGGAAGGCCUCUGGAACAGGAGGAGAACGGGAUGCGGCACCUGCCCGCGGUGGCCCGGUGCCCUGGCCAUGUGGCUCUGUUGCUCACACUUGCACUGUCUGUCCCCGUGACUUGGUGGGGUUGGUGGUGGACACAUCCGAGUUGACUCCAGCCACUCCAGAGCCGGCGGGAGGGCUGGAGGAGUGAGAAAGCCCAAUGGGUCAGAAGACGGCUCUGGAG
ensembl:lncRNA